rnacentral:Y_RNA from 1 species
GGUUGGUCCGAGUGCAGUGGUGUUUACAACUAAUGGAUCACAACCAGUUACAGAUUUCUUUGUUCCUUCUCCACUCCCACUGCUUCACUUGACUAGCCUUAA